CGAUACCGCGAGGAGGAGCAAAUCUGAAAAAAGACGUCCCUAGUUCGGAUUGUAGGCUGAAACUCGCCUACAUGAAGCUGGAAUUGCUAGUAAUCACAGGUCAGCAUACUGUGGUGAAUACGUUCCCGGGCCUUGUACACACCGCCCGUCACACCAUGAGAGUUAGGAAUACCCGAAGCCUGUGAGCCAACUUGUAAAAGAGGCAGCAGUCGAAGGUAGAACUAAUGAUUGGGGUGAAGUCGUAACAAGGUAGC
rnacentral:rRNA from 1 species